rnacentral:misc_RNA from 1 species
GAAGUGGUUCAUGAGCCCUACUAUGAUAUUGUGGAAGGGGUUUGGCUUUUGAUUUUUUUUCAUCCAAAAACAUUGCUCUAAUUGGAAAGUGGUUGUGGUAGGUUCCUUCGAAGCUGGAUUCCUUUAACUGCGCAGGGUAGGAGUAAAUUUGGCUUGUAUUAAAAUGGUUAGCAUGAUAAGAUAGGAACUAAUGCUGCUCAUGGAAGCACAUAAUGG